AUAUAUAUAUAUAUGGGGGAGGGGGGGGGUCCCGGAUUGUUACAUAUGUACAUGGGGGGGCCCCAAGGAAAAAGGUUGGGAACCACUGACUUACAGUAUAUGAGCUAUUUAGUUGGUUUAAGGUAGAUAUUGAGAUACAUGACGCGAGUGUCGCGUCAUAAAGCAAACAUUUAACGUUAAGUUAUAACGUUAUAUGCGACGCGACACUCGAUCGCCUCAUGUGUCCAUAAACUAUCAUGUAAAAUAAUAAAGACAAAAAAAAACAGUUUAAAUAAAUUAAAAAUCAGCAAUAACUGUGGAACCAAAUAAAUGAGAAUAAAAACUACUUUUAUGUUUUAAGGAAGCAUGGUUCAGCCCUGGACGAAGCCAUCGUCCAGCUACUGGAUUUCUGGAGGAACGCUUGCGAAAUGUCAGGAAGAGAACCCGUCGUGAAAACUGCACAAGCCGUGAGAAAGAGGAUUCUCAAGCCAUAAGCAGCACCUUGGUUAUACCAGGUAAAAAUUUAAAUUUGCUAUCUUUUACUAAAAGCAAGUGUUUAUUAUUUUGGCAAAUAUCCUUAAUUUUGUUGUUAAAAUUAUAUUUAUUUGUAGAGCCAAGUAUUUCACCUGACAGAGCAGUACAACUUGCAGAAUGGCUUAAAAAUAAUAUAUGGCCAGCUAACCAAGUUGCAGAUUACAUGAAAGAAACAGCCAUCCACAUGGCUCAGUGGAUAAGAGCUAACGGGACAAAAUCUAUCGAGGAAAUAACUUGUGAAUUCCCUCGACUCCUUGAUACGCCAGGCAUGAUUUCACAAGACUUCUCUGUAUUAUUCCCCGACCACGCAGAGAGACUUUUCCAAACUUGGAAAAUGAGUUUCAAAGACAAAAUCCUUUGCUUUGCCAGCCAGGAGAAAAAGGCGCAGGAGCUUCUCCAGAAUUUAGACAGUUUGUCUCCAGGUACAGUUGUGAAUGCAAGAACUAAUAGUUAUUCAUUAGAAUAAUGAUGACAAAAUAAUUAAUACAAAAUAUUAAUCUGCACAGAAGUCCAAAGUGACGUUGCACUCAGGCUGCUUCCUGUAAUACUGCCCACCCCUGUCUACAAAAAAGGGAUGAAAAUGUUCAAACCAAGCUUGGAAGAAAAUAUCAAGUCUUUCAUUGAAUUCAAGCAUGUAAGUAAUUUUGUAUUAUUACACAUCACGUGCAAACCAUACUAAGAGCAAAUUAAAAUGGCUUAACAUAUCAAGUGUUUAUAAAGUCACUGUCAUCCGCAUUAAAUUCUUUAUUUGUCAUUGCUUAGAAUCAGAAAAGAACUCCAAAAGCUAUAUACAGUGGCAAGAAAAAGUAUUUGAAACUAGAGGUCGACCGAUAUUGGAUUUUGCCGAUACCAAUAGCUAGGUUGGACCACAUUGGCUGAUACUGAUAAAUUAACCGAUAAUUUAAAAAAAAAACAGUACUUGUCACAGACACGCCAGGCUCCAGCACCACCCAAUCACAGCACGCACCAUCACCUGAGUACUAAUCACACUCACCUGCUCCUCAUCUACCUGCAAUCUCCCCAGCACUCAAAAGUCACACACACACACGCAGUCACUGUCCGGUCUCGUUCGCAACUAGGUCUAUACCUACCUGCUAACUCUAAGGACUAACCAUAUACCUGACUUACCUCUCUCCGGCGAUCUCCAGUGUGCUCCUGUUCCCAUUGUCUGUCUGUCUGUCUGUCUGUCUGUCUGUCUGUCUGUCUGUCUGUCUGUCUGUCUGUCUGUCUGUCUGUCUUCUUCCUCCUCCUCCAUCGUCUCAAGCCACCACCUCUCGGAUCAUCCCACCUUCCAAGACACCAGCACCGUAUCCUCUAGGCUUUUUCCUAAAUUCCAUUUUAUUUCCAAAUUCCGUUAUUAAAUUUUUCUGGAUUCUGUUUUUUUUUUUUUAAUUUUAGUCCACUCCUUUUUAGUAGUUAAAUUAAAGUUUCUUAAUCAUAAAGCAAGUCUUCAAUCUGCGUUUUCUGCAUUGCGGAAAACAUAGGGCCCUACAUUUAUCCCAGCACAAUGUAAACUCUCACACUUUAACUGCUUCUAUUCUUGAAUCAGUAAGUCACUAAAAGACUUUGUGAUUAUCUAAUCAAAAUAAAAGAGCAGCGCUUGAGUCAUAGGAGAACUCCCCGGUAUCACACACACUCCGGACGCGUCGCGUUCAACUCGAGCAGCGGUCUAAAAUGGUUUAUUUAUUCACCAAAUGGACACGAGUUUAUUUCAAGAAUGAACAAUGAGGCAAAGAGAAAUUUGAAAUUCAGUGUUUAAAAAACGAUAAAUCGGUCGACCUCUUAUUUGAACCCUUUGGAAUUAAUUGGUUUUCUGCAUUAAUUGGUAAUGUGAUUUAUAUAUUUCCUAUUAUGCAAACACAAAAGGAUAGCCUGUAAGACCUUUGUUCAUCUAAGAAACACAAAUGAAGAUAUAU
rnacentral:lncRNA from 1 species